CCUACGGGAGGCAGCAGUGAGGAAUAUUGGUCAAUGGACGAGAGUCUGAACCAGCCAAGUAGCGUGAAGGAUGACUGCCCUAUGGGUUGUAAACUUCUUUUAUAUGGGAAUAAAACGUUCCACGUGUGGGAUUUUGUAUGUACCAUAUGAAUAAGGAUCGGCUAACUCCGUGCCAGCAGCCGCGGUAAUACGGAGGAUCCGAGCGUUAUCCGGAUUUAUUGGGUUUAAAGGGAGCGUAGGUGGAUUGUUAAGUCAGUUGUGAAAGUUUGCGGCUCAACCGUAAAAUUGCAGUUGAAACUGGCAGUCUUGAGUACAGUAGAGGCGGGCGGAAUGCGUGGUGUAGCGGUGAAAUGCUUAGAUAUCACGAAGAACUCCGAUUGCGAAGGCAGUUCACUGGACUGCAACUGACACUGAGGCUCGAAAGUGUGGGUAUCAAACAGGAUUAGAUACCCUUGUAGUC
rnacentral:rRNA from 1 species